GCAGGAUUCAGGAGGGAUUAUUAUUAUUAUUAUUAUCAUCAUUAUCAUUAUUAUUAUCAUCAUUUAACAUAGUUGUGUAUUUAAUAAGUUAUAAGUUAAUAAAAGUAAGUUUUCUAAGUUAUCAAUGGAUUACUUUCAAGGUAUUAACCACAUCCUGCGGUGGCUCCAGGAAACAAAGCUAGAUAUUUCAAUCUGUAUUCGUACCAGGAGGAGAGAUGAUGUUACGGGGGCUCGGGGUCAGACUUUUGACAGGUUCGCAGCUGGAGGCCCAGACAUGUCGCAUCAUCUCUCUGGUGGAGGAAUUUUAUGGCUUCUAAAACUUUUAUUGUAAUAUAAUGAGACCAUUUGUUAUUAUUAAGUGGAAUUUUUUUGUAUAUUUUAUAAAAUAAUUUUAAAUAAUAUAUGAAUUAUG
rnacentral:lncRNA from 1 species